UUUGCCACAAGAUAACUGUGGUAAUUCUAGAGCUAAUAUUUUAAAGAAUGCCGUGACUCACGAAGCGGCGGAUUUAUUAGAUCAAAACUAACCUGUCGCAAGGCAGAAUUUUGAUGACUCUGGAUAACUUCACUGAUCGUACAACCUUUGUGUUGACGACGAAUCUCUUGAAAUGGCUGACCUAUCAACUUUCGAUGGUAAGAUCAAAGCUUACCAUGGUUGUAACGGGUAACGGGGAAUCAGUGUUCGAUUCCGGAGAGGGAGCCUGAGAAACGGCUACCACAUCCACGGAAGGCAGCAGGCGCGAAAAUUACCCAAUACCGGUUCGGUGAGGUAGUGAAAAUAAAUAACAAUAUGGGCCCUUGUGGUUUCAUAAUUGCAAUGAGAAUAUUUUAAAUACUUUAUCAAGUAUCAAUUGGAGGGCAAGUCUGGUGCCAGCAGCUGCGGUAAUUCCAGCUCCAAAAGCGUAUAUUAAAGUUGUUGCAGUUAAAAAGCUCGUAGUUGAAAUUGAGGAAAUGAUUCUUUAUGAGGUCUAUGACCGAAUGUUGAGUCUUCCUUCUCCGUCGUGUAUAUUGUUGAGUCACUUUACUGGGAUUCUUCGAUAACCGACAAGUUUACUUUGAAAAAAUUAGAGUGCUUAAAGCAGGCUUAUGCUUGUAUAUUGUUGCAUGGAAUAAUGAAAUAAGACUUCGGUUUUAUUUUGUUGGUUUUCGAAACUGAAGUAAUGAUUAAAAGAGACUGCCGGGGGCAUAUGUAUGCUGGUGCUAGAGGUGAAAUUCUGAGACCAUCAGCAGACAAUCUACU
rnacentral:rRNA from 1 species